GACGAACGCUGGCGGCGUGCCUAAUACAUGCAAGUAGAACGCACAGUUUAUACCGUAGCUUGCUACACCAUAAACUGUGAGUUGCGAACGGGUGAGUAACGCGUAGGUAACCUGCCUGGUAGCGGGGGAUAACUAUUGGAAACGAUAGCUAAUACCGCAUAAUAUUGAUUAUUGCAUGAUAAUUGAUUGAAAGAUGCUAUUGCAUCACUACCAGAUGGACCUGCGUUGUAUUAGCUAGUAGGUGAGGUAACGGCUCACCUAAGCGACGAUACAUAGCCGACCUGAGAGGGUGAUCGGCCACACUGGGACUGAGACACGGCCCAGACUCCUACGGGAGGCAGCAGUAGGGAAUCUUCGGCAAUGGACGAAAGUCUGACCGAGCAACGCCGCGUGAGUGAAGAAGGUUUUCGGAUCGUAAAGCUCUGUUGUAAGAGAAGAACGGGUGUGAGAGUGGAAAGUUCACACUGUGACGGUAUCUUACCAGAAAGGGACGGCUAACUACGUG
rnacentral:rRNA from 1 species